UACGGGGGGUGCAAGCGUUAAUCGGAAUUACUGGGCGUAAAGCGUGCGCAGGCGGUUUUGUAAGUCAGAUGUGAAAUCCCCGGGCUUAACCUGGGAACUGCGUUUGAAACUACAAGGCUAGAGUGUGGCAGAGGGGGGGUGGAAUUCCACGUGUAGCAGUGAAAUGCGUAGAGAUGUGGAGGAACACCGAUGGCGAAGGCAGCCCCCUGGGUUAACACUGACGCUCAGGCACGAAAGCGUGGGGAGCAAACAGG
rnacentral:rRNA from 1 species